AGAGUUUGAUCCUGGCUCAGAACGUACGCUGGCGGCACGCCUAACACAUGCAAGUCGAACGAAGUAGCAAUACUUAGUGGCAGACGGGUGAGUAACAUGUGGGUAUCUACCCUUUGGCCUGGAAUAACACGAGGAAACUUGUGCUAAUACCGGAUAAGUCUUUACGGAGAAAGCUUUAUGCACCAUUGGAUGAGCCCGCACUUGAUUAGUUUGUUGGUAGGGUAAUGGCCUACCAAGACUAUGAUCAAUAGCUGAUUUGAGAGGAUGAUCAGCCACAUUGGGACUGAGACACGGCCCAAACUCCUACGGGAGGCAGCAGUGGGGAAUCUUGCACAAUGGAGGAAACUCUGAUGCAGCGAUGCCGCGUGAGUGAAGAAGGCCUUUGGGUUGUAAAGCUCUUUCGUCGGGGAAGAAAAUGACUGUACCCGAAUAAGAAGGUCCGGCUAACUUCGUGCCAGCAGCCGCGGUAAUACGAAGGGACCUAGCGUAGUUCGGAAUUACUGGGCUUAAAGAGUUCGUAGGUGGUUGAAAAAGUUGGUGGUGAAAUCCCAGAGCUUAACUCUGGAACUGCCAUCAAAACUUUUCAGCUAGAGUAUGAUAGAGGAAAGCAGAAUUUCUAGUGUAGAGGUGAAAUUCGUAGAUAUUAGAAAGAAUACCAAUUGCGAAGGCAGCUUUCUGGAUCAUUACUGACACUGAGGAACGAAAGCAUGGGUAGCGAAGAGGAUUAGAUACCCUCGUAGUCCAUGCCGUAAACGAUGUGUGUUAGACGUUGGAAAUUUAUUUUCAGUGUCGCAGCGAAAGCGAUAAACACACCGCCUGGGGGAG
rnacentral:rRNA from 1 species